CGGGAAACAAAGAGAAGGCAUUUCUAUUGGCUGUUGAGGAGCUGGAAAUACAUGGAGUUAAAGUAGGAAGUACAUGAAACUAGCUGCCAUUGGUAGGCGGGCAGGACCUUGGGGCUCUACAAUCAUAUGGACCAGAAGGCAAUCUGCUUUACGAUCAGACGUGCCUCUGAAGAACAGAGGAUGAAGAGAAAGCAGCGGAGGAGGGCCACCCCGUGGUCUGAGGCAGCUUAAUAAAGAAACCUCUUUCCUGCCUUGAGGGACCAUCCCUGCAGCACCCAGCAAACACAGACACCCACUAUGUUCAAGGCUCUAGGGUGACAUGUGGCCCUUGGUGACUUGAAACCUCCAUCUAGUUAGAAAACAAAAUCCAGCAACCCAUAGAAGUCUCACUAUGCCACCCAGACUGGAGCGCAAUUGUCCAAUCUCGAGUCACUGCAGCCUCCACCUCCCAGAUUCAAGUGAUUCUCCUGCAUCAGCCUCCUGCAUAGCUGAGACUACAGCA
rnacentral:lncRNA from 13 species